rnacentral:rRNA from 1 species
CCUACGGCAGGCAGCAGUGGGGAAUUUUGGACAAUGGGCGCAAGCCUGAUCCAGCCAUUCCGCGUGAGUGAAGAAGGCCUUCGGGUUGUAAAGCUCUUUCGCAAGAGAAGAAAACUUACUUUCCAAUAAAGAGUGAGGUUGACGGUAUCUUGAUAAGAAGCACCGGCUAACUACGUGCCAGCAGCCGCGGUAAUACGUAGGGUGCGAGCGUUAAUCGGAAUUACUGGGCGUAAAGCGUGCGCAGGCUGUUUUGUAAGUCAGAUGUGAAAUCCCCGAGCUCAACUUGGGAACUGCGUUUGAAACUACAAGACUAGAAUAUGUCAGAGGGGGGUUAGAAUUCCACGUGUAGCAGUGAAAUGCGUAGAGAUGUGGAGGAAUACCAAUGGCGAAGGCAGCCCCCUGGGAUAAUAUUGACGCUCAUGCACGAAAGCGUGGGGAGCAAACAGGAUUAGAUACCCUGGUAGUCCACGCCAUAAACGAUGUCUACUAGUUGUUGGUGGAGUAAAAUCCAUGAGUAACGCAGCUAACGCGUGAAGUAGACCGCCUGGGGAGUACGGUCGCAAGNUUAAAACGUCAAAGGAAUUGACGG